rnacentral:lncRNA from 1 species
GGUGCCCUUGACGGUAUCUCCUCCGGUGAACUUCUUGGUGACGGCGAACUCCCAGGCGUUCUUGUUGGUGUCGAAGAGGGGUUCGAUGGUGGUGAGGCGGUCGACCCCGUGCGCGUAGGUGUACUUGACGCGGCAGCCGCCGGAGCCGAGCGAGUGGGAGAGGGUGACCUUGUUGGCGGGGUCGAAGGUGACGCUGCAGUCAAGCGCGGUGCGGGAGGGCAGCGCGGCGGCGGGGGGCGCGGGGGCCGGGGCGAAACUGGUGGAGUGGGUGUAGGUGAGGCUGACCCGCUUGUCGAGCACGAGCGCGGAGUUCAUGAACUGGAAGCGCACAUCCUGCGGCAGCCGCCCCAAAUCGGAUAGGGGUAGGUGAGCGGGGGAGGAGGAGGAGGAGGAGGUAGGUGGAGACGCGAAGGAGACGAGCUACGAGGAUGGUUUACCUGGUUGUGGGGCUUGAGGUCGACGAGGAAGGCGCCGGGCUUCUCGAGGGUGAGGGUGAGGCCCCGGAGGGAAGGCCCGUUGGCGAAGGCGGCCUCGGUGGCGGAGGCCUUGAAGCGG